GAUGAACGCUGGCGGCGUGCCUAAUACAUGCAAGUCGAGCGAACAGAUGAGGAGCUUGCUCCUCUGACGUUAGCGGCGGACGGGUGAGUAACACGUGGAUAACCUACCUAUAAGACUGGGAUAACUUCGGGAAACCGUAGCUAAUACCGGAUAAUAUAUUGAACCGCAUGGUUCAAUAGUGAAAGACGGUUUUGCUGUCACUUAUAGACUGAUCCGCGCCGCAUUAGCUAGUUGGUAAGGUAACGGCUUACCAAGGCAACGAUGCGUAGCCGACCUGAGAGGGUGAUCGGCCACACUGGAACUGAGACACGGUCCAGACUCCUACGGGAGGCAGCAGUAGGGAAUCUUCCGCAAUGGGCGAAAGCCUGACGGAGCAACGCCGCGUGAGUGAUGAAGGUCUUCGGAUCGUAAAACUCUGUUAUUAGGGAAGAACAAAUGUGUAAGUAACUAUGCACGUCUUGACGGUACCUAAUCAGAAAGCCACGGCUAACUACGUG
rnacentral:rRNA from 1 species